rnacentral:lncRNA from 1 species
UUUGGCUCAGGUAAAAUUAUAAAUCGAAAUCUGGUUAAAAUUAAAGAUACACGUACUAUAUCAGGAGUACGUGGAGAGUACAUAUUUUACUCUCCUAACUGAUUUAUCCUAUAAAAUUAAAUAACUACGUGCCAACAUAAUUUUUUCGCAAAUUUCUCUAAAGAAGAGCACUAAACAGCAGUUAUCAUCUACUCGGUAACAGCUCCACAAGAGAGAAGAGCACUAAACAGCAAUUAUCAUCCACUCCUGAUACGAAGAAGGUACGUUAUUCAUUCUGAAUAUCAUCUCUAUUACUCACACUCUUACUAACUUGAGCGUUAGAGUCUCUUUGCAGAUGCCUAACGCCGCCGUCCUUACAAGAAGACGAUGUUCCUUCCUCUCAUUUCCAAGGAAAGCAAGUUCAAGUACUAGCAGAACUAGUAGACCUCUUCUCACUCUCAAGAAAAAUAAAUUCAAGCACUAGCAGAACAAACUAUACCUCGAAGACCUAUUUUUAUGCAGAAACAGAAACAAACCCUUGUUAAUCAAUUGAUGAACUCUUAGGUUUUUAUUGUUAAGCUAAUUACUGUAAGUGCUAACUAAGAAUUUAAAAAUAACUAAAAAUUAAAGUUAUAACUUGAGAAAAACACCUUAUAGUAAAAAGUGGUAUAAUGAAUAUGAAAAAGACUAAAAAUAAUAUAUGAAGUAAUAAAAAAAUGAUGCAAAUUUUUGUUAGACAACUGGUGAAUUUUUAAAUUUUAAUUGCUAAAUUAACUACUGUAAAUUAAAUGUUAACCAAAGAUUUAGAAAAAAUUAAAAGUUAAAAUCAUAACUUGUGAAAAAUAUAUUACAAUAAAAAAUAGUACAAUAAAAAUAAAAAAGACCAAAAUAUAAAAUAAUAAAAAAAUAAUACAAAUUCUUGUUUUUAAUGAAAAACUCUUAAAUUUCUAUCUCUAAGCUAAUUACUUUAAAUGCUAAUGAUAUUUAUUUUUUAGAAUUUUUAAUUAUUAAUAAUAUACCAUAAGAGUCAAAAAUAACAGCAGCGGAACCAAACACCAGGAGAACCAAACACCUGCAAAUUUAGAAAGCAGGAAAGGGUGAAAGGCUGUCGAACAUGUGACACAACGUUGCGUAAAGAAAUGCAAUAUGCUACAAUGGAAAUUACAAACUUAAUAAAAGAACAUUCAUGGUAUUGGUAGUCAAUAAUACUUUAUAUUUCUAACCUGCAGAAGGAAGAAACCAUAAGCAGUUUGUUAUAUGAAUUAAUUCAAUUAACAUUUUACCUUGUAGAUUUCAUGAAGUAGUUGGCGGUUGUAAUGCCUAAUUAGAAUCUCCUAAAUAGAUUCCCAACUGGCCAUGUGUGUGCAAUACUUAAAUCCUUCAAAUAAAUUUGUGCCCCCUCAACAUCUGCAAAAGCCAUUAGAUCUCGCUGAAAUUAAUCAUAAUCUGUUAGAAAAUACUAUCUAAUGUAGAAGAAGAUGUGAAGAAGCUUAGUAUAAUCAUAAAAUUAAUCAAAGAUAUCCAGAAAAAACGAUGUUGAUAAGAAAAUUAGGAAAAUCCAUUCUUAGAAUUGGUGUACUGUCACACUCAGAAUCCCUUAACAUUCCUGAGGCACCACUGCACCCUUGGCUGCUAACUAUACUGUGUGCACCACACUUGUAAAAAUGUACACUCCUUCACUCAGUUGUCCACUUUUAUUGUACCUCUCACACUAGUCACCUCCAGGCACAUAAUAACUCAUAAAAAUUUGGAAACUUAGGAGACAAUUCCUGCGAAAAAGUUGCAUAUGUAAAAUAUAAUUAUUUUUUUUCCCAAAAUUUAGGAGCAGGGUUCUUGGUGUAAAAUUUCCUUGAUUUUGCCAUGAGUCUAAACUUUAUAUUUUCAUAUGUGAAAAUACACAAUUUUCACAGAUCAAAUGUUCACUGAUGAGUAUAGAAAUCCUUAAAAUUGAACCCUUAAUGAUGAGGAGAAUAUUUUACAAGGAGAAAUUAGGACUCGAACUCUGCCUAAAUAAAAGGGAGAAUAAAAAAAUAAUAGAGGCCAGGUAAAAAAUAGUGAACUCCUAACGCUCUGAAACUCCUAAAUGCUUGAUGGAGUGCGUAGAUUUCAUGAGCAGGAUUCAGAAGCAAAGAAAGAAUUAUAUUUACGUGAUAUAUCAAAAACUUUAAUUUGUAUCCAGUUCCAUCAACUAAUUGGAGAGACACUCUUUACUGUGCAUUUUCUCCUGCCCCUUUUGAUCCCAACCAACUUUAUUUUACGGUUUUUAAUUUUAUUUUCAUACAAAAAUAUCUUCGUGUGAGUAUUUUUUAUUUUAUGUUGUAUUAUAUAUUUUAUUGUUUUAGUAAAAUAUUUCCUUCUUUGCCUAAUUGUUUCUAAUUUAUUUUAGACUUUUUUUCCUUCCAUGUAUUUCAGUGAAAAAUAUUUUGGUAGAAAUUUUUAUAGUAUUUCUAAAGGAUCAAAUAGAUUUUCAUAUCAAUGAUUAAUGUGAAAUAAAUUUAUUACCUGCAGAUGUAUAAUGAUGGAGUACUCAAACAAUGUGAAGAGAUUGGUACUGCUAUCCGAAGCAUUAGGCCUUAAGCCUAGUUAUUGUAAGGAGAUAGAUUGUGCAGAGGGGCUUUUUAUGCUUGCCCAUUAUUUCCCAUCUUGCCCUCAGCCAGAACUCACUUUAGAGUCAAGUGGCCACUGGGAUACUAGCUUCCUUUACCUUUAUCUUCAAAGACCAAGUUCAGUGGCCUACAAAUCUUUCACGAAAACCAGUGGAUCCAUAUCACACUUUUCC